AAGACCUUGCGCUUUUGGAGCGGCCGAUGCCUGAUUAGCUUGUUGGUAAGGUAAAAGCUUACCAAGGCUUCGAUCAGUAGCCGGUCUGAGAGGACGACCAGCCACACUGGGACUGAGACACGGCCCAGACUCCUACGGGAGGCAGCAGUGGGGAAUUUUGGACAAUGGGGGCAACCCUGAUCCAGCCAUGCCGCGUGAGUGAAGAAGGCCUUCGGGUUGUAAAGCUCUUUCAGCCGGAACGAAACGGUUACGGUUAAUACCCAUGACUACUGACGGUACCGGAAGAAGAAGCACCGGCUAACUACGUGCCAGCAGCCGCGGUAAUACGUAGGGUGCGAGCGUUAAUCGGAAUUACUGGGCGUAAAGCGUGCGCAGGUGGUUUUGUAAGUCAGAUGUGAAAGCCCCGGGCUCAACCUGGGAACU
rnacentral:rRNA from 1 species